rnacentral:rRNA from 1 species
UACGUAGGGGCAAGCGUUGUCCGGAAUCAUUGGGCGUAAAGAGCGUGUAGGCGGCUCGAUAAGUCUGCUGUGAAAGUCCAGGGCUCAACCCUGGAAGGCCGGUGGAAACUGUCGGGCUAGAGUCCGGAAGAGGCGAGUGGAAUUCCCGGUGUAGCGGUGAAAUGCGCAGAUAUCGGGAGGAACACCAAUGGCGAAGGCAGCUCGCUGGGACGGUACUGACGCUGAGACGCGAAAGCGUGGGGAGCAAACAGG